GCCCUGAUAGUAUAACAAUUACACUGGUCUUGUAAACCAAAAAUGAAAAACUAAAUUUUCUUAGGGCG
rnacentral:tRNA from 1 species